CCCUUAGAUGUUCUGGGCCGCACGCGCGCUACACUGAUGCAUUCAACGAGUUUCUUCCUGGUCCGAGAGGAAUGGGUAACCUUUUGAAAGUGCAUCGUGAUAGGGAUAGACUAUUGCAAGUAUUGGUCUUCAACGAGGAAUUCCUAGUAGACGUAGUUCAUCAGACUGCAUCGAUUACGUCCCUGCCCUUUGUACACACCGCCCGUCGCUCCUACCGAUUGAAUGCUCAGGUGAGCCAUUCGGACUUUCAUCAUGCUGGUUUCCAGUUUUGAUGAAGGAAAGUCUUGCGAACCUUAUCAUUUAGAGGAAGGAGAAGUCGUAACA
rnacentral:rRNA from 1 species